rnacentral:rRNA from 2 species
CUGCCAGUGAUAAACUGGAGGAAGGUGGGGAUGACGUCAAGUCAUCAUGGCCCUUACGACCAGGGCUACACACGUGCUACAAUGGCAUAUACAAAGAGAAGCGACCUCGCGAGAGCAAGCGGACCUCAUAAAGUAUGUCGUAGUCCGGAUUGGAGUCUGCAACUCGACUCCAUGAAGUCGGAAUCGCUAGUAAUCGUAGAUCAGAAUGCUACGGUGAAUACGUUCCCGGGCCUUGUACACACCGCCCGUCACACCAUGGGAGUGGGUUGCAAAAGAAGUAGGUAGCUUAACCUUCGGGAGGGCGCUUACCACUUUGUGAUUCAUGACUGGGGUGAAGUCGUAACAAGGUAACCGUAGGGGAACCUGCGGUUGGAUCAC